rnacentral:rRNA from 1 species
AUUGAACGCUGGCGGCAUGCCUUACACAUGCAAGUCGAACGGCAGCACGGGAGCAAUCCUGGUGGCGAGUGGCGAACGGGUGAGUAAUAUAUCGGAACGUGCCCAGUAGUGGGGGAUAACUACUCGAAAGAGUGGCUAAUACCGCAUGAGAUCUCUGGAUGAAAGCGGGGGACCGUAAGGCCUCGCGCUACUGGAGCGGCCGAUAUCAGAUUAGGUUGUUGGUGAGGUAAAGGCUCACCAAGCCGACGAUCUGUAGCUGGUCUGAGAGGACGACCAGCCACACUGGGACUGAGACACGGCCCAGACUCCUACGGGAGGCAGCAGUGGGGAAUUUUGGACAAUGGGCGCAAGCCUGAUCCAGCAAUGCCGCGUGCAGGACGAAGGCCUUCGGGUUGUAAACUGCUUCUGUACGGAACGAAAAGCCUUCUUCUAAUACAGGAGGGUCAUGACGGUACCGUAAGAAUAAGCACCGGCUAACUACGUG